rnacentral:tRNA from 1 species
GGGCCGUUAGCUCAGUGGAUAGAGCAGAGGUUUUCUAAACCUCAAACGCGGGUCCGAUUCCCGCACGGCCCU